UAUCUACUCCCUACGUCCGGAAUUACUUGUCGUAUAAAUGGAUAAAAAUGAAUGUAUCUAGAAUUGAAAUACAUCUAGAUACAAACUUUCAUAUGACAAGUAUUUUUGGAGGCAGGGAGUACUAU
rfam:Hordeum vulgare subsp. vulgare, WGS project CAJW01000000 data, contig: morex_contig_71235